UGGGGAAUAUUGGACAAUGGGCGCAAGCCUGAUCCAGCAAUGCCGCGUGUGUGAAGAAGGCCUUCGGGUUGUAAAGUACUUUUAUCAGGAGCGAAACGCUGUCGGCUAAUACCCGGCGGAACUGACGGUACCUGAGGAAUAAGCACCGGCUAACUUCGUGCCAGCAGCCGCGGUAAUACGAAGGGUGCAAGCGUUAAUCGGAAUUACUGGGCGUAAAGCGUGCGUAGGCGGUUUCUUAAGUCUGCUGUGAAAUCCCCGGGCUCAACCUGGGAAUGGCAGUGGAUACUGGGAGGCUAGAGUGUGUCAGAGGGUGGUGGAAUUCCCGGUGUAGCGGUGAAAUGCGUAGAGAUCGGGAGGAACAUCAGUGGCGAAGGCGGCCACCUGGGACAACACUGACGCUGAGGCACGAAAGCGUGGGGAGCAAACAGGAUUAGAUACCCUGGUAGUCCACGCCCUAAAGCGAUGCGAACUGGAUGUUGGUCUCAACUCGGAGAUCAGUGCCGAAGCUAACGCGUUAAGUUCGCCCGCCCUGGGGAGUACGGUCGCAAGACUGAAAC
rnacentral:rRNA from 1 species